CUUUGAGAAACCACUACAGAUGUAAUACUGCUGCCGUCGCAACAUGGCGCUGUUGUGCAGAUCUGUGCUUAAACUUAAUGUAUUGAGCUGAAAACUAAACCAAAGGGAGCGGGAAAACAGUGACCGUGUAUAACACUGGUACUGGUAUGAACAACAGCGCCCAUUUACCGUACUAGCAGUACAUACUGCAAUUCUAUUAUUACACAACAAAAGGAAGCCCCGCCAAAGCAGGGCAUCAAAAAAUUAGUUGAAACUCAUAAAUGUUCCUCUCCACGGAAAUCUUUAGUAAAAGGCGAAAGAUUUAUGCGAUCUGAAGAGAAACCAGAGUAUGCUAAUAUCAACGUGCAGUAGACAACCUACUCAUAUUGUUAUUGUAACAAGGGACGGUUAGUUGUUUUUUAAACGAGCAUUUUAACGUCUACGUCUUGAGAAAAACAGCCAAAACAGCAUACAAGUACUGUAUGUUGACAUUUAGAUUUAAAUAUGAUAUUUUAAAAGCAUACAUUUCAUAAGAGGAAAUUAGAUUCUGCCAAAGUGCAUUAUGGGUAUGCAAAUAUGAUCCAACCCUGCAGCGCGGUUUCCACCCAACAGUAUUGCUCAACCCCAAGGUAUUCGUUUUCCGUUUCUAUUUUUUUGUCCCUCUCUAUUUUUAGCCGGUUUCAAGGAUUUCCGCCCCGUACAGAGGAUCGCCUUCAAAAAGAAGACGAGCGUUCCCACUCCAGCGCCGUGUUGGUGUCACUUACACUCCCAACUUCUGCUGUCUGAAGGAAACCCGACUCCACGGAGCCGACUAGACUCAGCAGAAAGACGAACUGAAUGUAGAACCACCUUUCAAGGUUGUGACAGCAGUUGUGAAGGAUUCAGAAGACAGUUAUUCGAAUCUUAUCCCACACUGAGUGAGGGUGGUGGAUUUUAACUAAUGAAGAUUUCAGGAUCUAUGAGAAGCCAGAUCUUGGCUGUUAUUCCUUGCCCUAAUGAGGGGUACUCAGCAAAAUAUUUAAGGGACCCAGAAACCCAAAUUUGGCUCUGUCAUUAUCUAUGUAAGGCCGCUACAAAGAGGUCUUAAUAUGGAUCAGGUAAGAGCUUAUUGUUUUUUUCUUUGAUUGUUUCUUAGUGCUGGUAAAUUCUUAUUAUUCAUCCAUCUUCUUUGGUGGGUUUUCAGGGUUCCACAUGUUCAUUCAGCUGUAGUGUAACAUUGCAUUUGCAGUGAAUGACGUGUCUGCUGCAAUUCAUUUAGUAGGUUCCUGGGCUGUCCUUAUCCACUGGGCCCCUGAUGAAGUGCCUCUUUUGUGAGAAAGACUUUUCCUUCUCAGAAAUAAAGUCACAGUGACGGCUGUAGCAGCAGGUAUAGUGUUUUUGUUAAUGUAAUUGGUCAUUGUUAAAUACAGUACAUUAACUAUUUUGAAAGGUUUAUUUGCAGUAAAAUGAUGAAAUAUGCGUAUAGUGGUUUUCAGGAAAUGUUUAUGCUAAUGUAGUCUUACAAAAAUAAAUGUAUUGGUCUCGUUAAAUGUUUUCAAAAUGAAUAAAAGCUGAUUGGCUGUGUUUUGAUGUAAUAUAAUUUAAGUCGUGGUUAUAAUCAUUGUUUUGCUGCACUUCAUGGAUACAUAUGUCAAGUUCUUAUUACCUGUUGUCAUAUACCAAAGGAACUUUUUGAUGAACAUUCUCACAGUGAUCUGACAAUGUGUUGGUCCUGCAUAUGCUUGUGAUCAUUUGUCCUUAAUUGUCUUUGUUUUGCUGUGUCUUCUUAGUUAAUUACUUCAUGUGAAACUUAUGGUUUAAAAUGUAUUGUCUUCAAGGCCUUCAUUUCAGAGCACAGACAGUAGUGUAGUGGAAGGAGUAGGUGAGACUCAGAGUUCAGAGGUGCCCACUGCAACAGUAACUUGUGUGCUGCUGAAUUCUGAUGAGCUGCUACAGGAGUGUAUUCCGGAUAGACCAAGUGAAAUAAUAGACAGCAAUAGGGAUGCAGGAGUAGACAGGGCAGUCUUCGUUGACAGCAGAGAGACUGAGGACGGUUUGUGAAUUAAAUUAUUUGAAUUAAUUUUAUGUGUUGAAUGAAAUAAGCUGACACCUUUCUGUUUUUCAAUGGGUAUGUUUUAUUUCUUUUCAGAAUGUGAAAUCAUGGCAAAUUUGUUCAGGGAGGCUGUAUUGAAGCAGCAUGGAACUGCUAAACCACUCCAUCUAAGAAUGGAUUUGCGAGACCGCAUGGAGAAUAGAGAGAGGGACAUUUUGUCAUUUUAUAAAAUGUCCAAAGUAGAAUGGGCCUGUCCUUUAAAAUGCACACUUGAAGAAAUCACUGACAGAACUUUUAAUGUUUGAAGGAGAACCUGACCAUUUAAUUCCCUCCACAUCUGAGUUCCUUCUCGAGAGUGACAUGUUUCACGUUGCUGGGCGAAUGAUUGGACAUUCUUUCCUGCACAGUGGUCCAAGCUUAGCUGGAUUGAGUCCCGCAAUUAUCCAUGUGUUGCUUGGAGGUGCACCAGAAACCGCCAAUCUGGAGAGUCACGAUUGUCCUGAUAUUGAUGUUCACGAAACUGUCAAAUUAAAGGAGUCCAAAGCAGUUCUCAGUGAAGAAGACACAAGCAUAAUACUGCAAUUGGCAUUAAGCUGGGAUCUUCCAGGGAUGGCAGAAGAAAAUCGGCAUUGGCUAAUGGACAAACUCCUCCUUCACGCUGUUAUUGUAAGAACAACUCGACAGGUUAAACAGCUGAGGAAAGGACUGAAAGAGACAUUGGUCUGGCCUCUCCUGAAGGAAAGAAGUGAUAUUAUUCCACUGAUGUUUCCAAGGGCCUCUGACACACUAUACACCUCCCAGGUGUGUUACAUUUUAUUACAUGUUGUUCCCUAAUUAAGUUUUGAAUGCCUGUGGCAGUGUGUUACUGUUUCAGUGUUUUGAUAAUGUGAUUUGCUAGUUAUAUUUCUAAUUCUGAAGUUUAUAUAUUUUUUGGUGUAACUGUGAAGCUCAUAUACUAGUAUGUUUUGGUCUACAAUAUAAAACCCAGCUUGUAUAGAGCUUUGAGAUGAAGCUUGUUAUUGAGCAAUUUCAAUAUUGGAAUUGAACAAAAAUGGCCAAUAAGGUUCAGCAAGAGAUCCCCAGCCGUGCAUUCAUUUAUCUAUUCAUUCUUUUUUUCCUCAAGAUGAUCCUUGAAAGAAUCACCUGGCCACACUGAAUGUGGCGGAAGAUGAUGAUGAUGAUGAUGAUGAUGAUGAUGAUGAUGAUGAUGACUGUUCUCUUGAGACUAAAUGCCGUAUCACAGGCUUCUUCAGGACAUUCAUUGAGAUGCAUCACCAAGAGCGCUGAUUGAUCUCCUCAGAUUCUGGGUUGGAUGGGAGGUCCUCCCGAAGGAGCUGUCUGUUGAGGUCACAGAUACCAAACUGCCCAAAGCAUCCACCUGUUUCGAAACCAUUAAAUUACCCAGACACGACUUUCACUACUCAUCAUUUGAGGAGGAUCUUCUUUCCUGUAUACAUACUGUGGACACCGGCUUUGGACUUGUCUAAUUUAGAAUUCCGCCAUGAGAAAUCUGUUUGAACUCCUUCAGGGGCCAAUUAAAAUAUACAACAUAAUUGAUUUGACAACUAGAAAUAUAACAUGACAAAGUAAAAAAAAAAACAUCCAGGUUAAUGUUCUGCUAUAUUAUUAUUCUUAUUAUUAUUAUUAUUAUUAUUAUUUAUUUCUUAGCAGAUGCCAUUAUCCAGGGCGACUUACAGUUGUAAACAAAAAUACAUUUAAGGAAUCACAGUACAAGUAAUAAUACAAUUAUGUAAAUACUAAAUGUACUAAGAAAGAAAUUCAAAUGAACGACUGGCAAUUUUAUUAGGCCAUUUUAUUAUUUUGAUUACAAUAAAUAAUGCACUGAUUCUCAAAAUGUUUCUUUUUUUGGGGGGGGGGAACAACACUUUUUUUUUCUUUUAAAAUACUUGCUUAUGUUUGUGAAAACAUCUGUUAAAUAUCAACAUAAGCACAGGUACUAUUGUCAUUUAUUUAACAAAGUCAGUGCUAUGCAGACUCAGUGACAAAAAAUACAGCUGUCCCAAACAAUAAAAACAAUCGUCAAA